UGGGGAAUAUUGGUCAAUGGGCGAAAGCCUGAACCAGCAAUGCCGCGUGAGUGAUGAAGGCCUUCGGGUUGUAAAGCUCUGUCGGGAGGGACGAAAAAGCCGGGGUAACGCCCGGACUUGACGGUACCUCCAAAGGAAGCACCGGCCAACUCUGUGCCAGCAGCCGCGGUAAUACAGAGGGUGCAAGCGUUGUUCGGAAUUACUGGGCGUAAAGCGCGUGUAGGCUGCGAUGUAAGUCGGACGUGAAAGCCCUUGGCUUAACCAAGGAAGUGCAUCCGAUACUGUGUCGCUUGAGUACCGGAGGGGAUGGCGGAAUUCCCGGUGUAGAGGUGAAAUUCGUAGAUAUCGGGAGGAACACCUGUGGCGAAGGCGGCCAUCUGGACGGUAACUGACGCUGAGACGCGAAAGCGUGGGUAGCAAA
rnacentral:rRNA from 1 species